GACAGGGGAUGCAAGCGAUAUCCGGAAUGAUUGGGCGUAAAGCGUCUGUAGGUGGCUUUUUAAGUCUGCCGUCAAAUCCCAGGGCUCAACCCUGGCCAGGCGGUGGAGACUACUAAGCUGGAGUACGGUAGGGGCAGAGGGAAUUUCCGGUGGAGCGGUGAAAUGCGUAGAUAUCGGAAAGAACACCAAGGGCGAAGGCACGCUGCUGGGCCGAAACUGACACUGAGAGACGAGAGCUAGGGGAGCAGAUGGG
rnacentral:rRNA from 1 species